rnacentral:lncRNA from 10 species
GGGGCAGCUGGCCCCGCACCAAGUGCACCAAGUGGCUGGCAGCAGCACACGGCCACCUGGAGCAAAGCACAGAGGCCUUUCUCUCCUGUCCUCAGUCCCUGGAAGCAGCAGGUUCCUAUCUGUGACCUGAAGGAACGCAAGGGAGAAUCGUGGCUGCGCUGCUCCUAUGCACUGGACAUGGGGAGGCACCAAUGUCCAGCUUGUGGAUCAAGACCUGAAGGGCACAAAGGGCAAGGUGUCAGAGCUGGGAUGCUGUCCUGAUGACCAAAAGCUUAGGUGGACACAGAGCCCUGGGCUCCCUCACGAGGAAUUCACUGGGGAACAAAAAAGUGAGGCACUGAGGACACCUGCAGUGUGAGUCCGGACAGGCACACUGACACAGCGGAACAGACGCGGCAGAACCGACACGGCGGAACGGACGCGGAUGAUGCAGAGCCCCUCUCAGGAUGGCCAGCCAUUCCUCCCCUGCCAGGGCCCACCACGCCUCCCAUGGAGAGACGGUGUCUGUUUCCCUCCUGUCGGAAUCUGGAUGGCCCAGAGACGACUCUGACAUCAGGAUGCUGGGACUGUGCCAAUUCCAGACCUAAACCUAAAGAAGCCUGGAAGAUUCUGCUGUGGCUCCUGGGAAUCCAGUCACCGAGCUGGAGGAAAGUCCAAGCUCCCGUGUGAGUGGGAGACACAUGGAGGGGCUCUGGGGAGAGGGCACAUGGAGAAGAGCAGAGAGGCCACUGACAGCACCAAUGCUCUGUGGCGAGGGACACACUUUCCUGGACCUCCCAGCCCAGCUGUGCGCUGCUGCACGCACGGCCUCAACCAACACCUCGGGGAGCAAGCGACUGCCUGUCCACCCAUCCAACUAAGAAAGACUGACUCACCGAUGAC